CAGUGCGGCACAGCAUCCCCUUCAUGCUGCACCUCUCAAUUCCAGCCAAGCCUGAAAAAAUAUCUAGGCAGGGUGAAGGAUACCUGGGCCAUGAAAAGUGAGGGAAAAAAAGCAGACUGUGGAUACUGGAGGACAGCUGCUAAAACUUCCUACCCCACUAUAAGUUAUUAGCUCUGAUUCAAGGAGAAUUAUUCCCUGUUGGUUCACUGGGGAUGAGGUGAUGUUAUGCAAGGGGUCCAUUUUUCAUUCAGUGUUACAGCUGGAUGUUGUUAGGCAGAGGAUGCUGAGAGUCUUGUUUGAUUGUAUGGGCUCACUGGGGACAGCAGGGGCAACAUGGGUCCUGGUGGCUUUUUUUCCAGUGCCAUGAGUCUUGAACCAUUGGACCUGACCACUAACACUUUGUAGGCAACUGGAUCAGGCCAACAAAGGAUUUCUAACUUUAAUAAGUUGCGUUUCCCAUUGGACAUGAAUAUCCAGUUGAUGCUGAGAUAAGGCAGACUCUUUCUCAACUCACAGUUGAAUUGAUUUCAUUUUAAAAAGUGCUUUGCAAGCCUUAGGACUGUAGCCUGCCUGGGACACCUCACAUGGGCCAGGGCACAUGCUUCCUCACUCCUAAGCUCUAAGCUCAGGCCAUUCUCAUCCCCUGAGUGAUCUGCAUUGCCUUUCCUCCCCUAGAUGUCACAAAGGUUCCCCCUUACAGAUCGUUGUCUCCUUGGUAACUGAACCACAUCAGAUAAAAGCAGACUGAAACUCAGCAGCCUGCAAAGCCCUGAGCAACACAGAGGGGAUGGCUGUGAGAAGCUGUUAUGGCUGAGAUCCUGAGUCUGAAUCUCCACUUUCCCUCCCACACAAGUAUGAAUAGCUACCUUACUCUCACCCAGGCAUUUAACACCUGGAACAUCUGUCCUGAAACAGAGGAAGGAGAAAGUGAACAUUCUGAACUGGAGUGGCUGGAUCUCUUUGGGAAGACUGGGAAGGGAGAAUCUGAGCAAAAGACUUUGAGUUCAGCCAGUUUAAACACAUCUAUAUGUACCAUGUACUAUAAAAAUGUUAUUAUAAAAAAAAA